CCUCCAAAUGGGAUAAUCAGCAAACAAUGCCAAUCUUCUAUUGAUUCUUUCUACUAUUUAGUUACUACUGGUAGAUAUGUCAGUACCUCAAACUAUUUUACCUUGAUAAUAGCUGAGAUUGCUGUUUCAGAUGGUGAUGACAGCCAAUACUGAAAGGAGCAGUCAAAACUGGGAAAAGACUUUUCCAAACGGCACAAUCCUGCCAGGAAACAGAACAACACCCAACAUAAUAACAGAGUUGGAAGGAACCUUGGAAGUCUUCUAGUCCAAGCCAGUGGAGAAACUUUGAGAAAACUGCAGCUUUAAGCUUCUUCCAUGAAGAUUUGCAUCUAGAUCCACAAAGGGGAAAUCCAAGAGAGUAUAAAAGCUGAAGUUCUCCUUAGUCUAUUCUACACAGCCAGUUAAGAAGGAACAUAAUUACCAUGAAGAAUGCUGUUCAGAAGACACUUGUGACACUAGCACAACCACCAACCUCACCACAAGGACUUGGCCAACAUGAAUUUUCCUUUGCUUCACAAAAUUCUGCAGGACCGUUUAUCCAUCAAAGCACAAGUAGGUCAUGCAGCAAGUUUAUGAGCCCAAACUACCAAGGGAAUGGAUGGUGAAGAAAUCCAAAGUUUUGGAACGGGCAUGCCAAAAUCUGGACCCAACCUUCAAAGAAAUGGUGUGCGAGACUUGAAACAAGUAGUUUAUGGCAGAAAAUUCUCAGAUGUUACUAGGUUGAAUUAAGUUGUCAUGGCGAAAUGGGUCAAAAUUCCUGCACAGCAAUGUGCUGACAAAUUACAGGUCACAUGAAGUGUUUGGUUGGGCUCAUUGCAGCUUUAAAAAAACAACAACCCGAUACCAGUUUCUGAAUCUAAGGAGGCAAUUAGAUUUUUACAUUGACCCAUUUGUGUUAGAUAACUUUGUUUAUGAAAUUAAUAAAAUAAGCACCAAACUGUAAUCUUAUUUAUUCACUUAGGUUUUCUUUAUAUUUAAGUAUGCACAUGAAGCUUUGAAAGGAAAUCAGUGCAAUGAUAUGCAAAGAUUCAGAAAAUCCAAAAGGGGCAAAUGCUUUCUUUCAUAGAACCAUGACUCUUAAAAUAGGCUACAGUAAUGCUUGUGAAGAGGUACUCCCCCCAAAGACCUCAAAAUAACUGUAGCAUCUGCUAUUUGUGCAAAAGUUAUAAGAAUGCUGCUGGAGAUAAUGAAUUGGGCAUCUUGGAGCUGAGGUGGGUUUCAGAGGACACAGUUGGUCUCAUACCAAAUGGUUACUCCUUGGCUGUUUGUUGACCCAGCACAUGGGGGGUCAGCAGAGCAGUUGAAAUGAGCCAGAGAUGUGCCCCAAAUUCUGGAGGUGAAUAGGCAAGAGCCAUAAUGCCAUGCAGAGUGGCUGACACUGAACAUCUUUGCACUGUUUGGCCUCAGUAAUGCCAGGCCAGUUGUCAUGUGCCAGCAUGGCAGCAGCCAAGGCCCUCAGCUUGUUAGACUGAAAGAAUGUGCCGUUUUAAUUAAUGAUAUGUAAAUAUCCUUGAAUGGGCUGCAUUUGCAUAUUAAGAGAGAUUUGCGGAAUCUGCGGAGUAAUAUAUUUUAAUUAAGGAUUAAUUAAAAAUAAUGGGAAUUUCAUUUUGCCUGGCAGAAUCCGUUUAGAUCUGAGCACACGUCUGCUCAGGAGUCUGGUCCGACUGUUCAACAUCCCACAUCCUGCAGCUGAGCCUACCCCUCCCAUGUUUAUAUGGCACCACCCGGGUUUCCAACAACAAAUCAGCACCAAAGCGGGGGUGGGGGGGAGGCAGCCAAAGCAUCCUUUUUGUGUACCUCCUUGGUGUGGUUUUGGGCUGAUUUGGGCUGGGUUUUUUUUAAAUCGUAAAGUAAGUAAAUGGCUCUGAGACACGGAACACUAGUUGUGUUGGCAAUUAUGUUAAUGGGAUGCUAUUAGGCUAUGAUUCUAUAUGAGCAAUUGGGGAGAAGAAAUGCCUUACUGAGAGAGAAUGAUACAACAGACGUCUGUCUUAUUGAUAUAGCUCCAGUGGAGCUCUCUGCAUAAUUACACUAGGCCACUUUCCACGGGUGGGGGGAGGCCUUAGACGUGCAGGUAGGAGGCAGAAUUCAGAAUGAAAGUCAAUUUCUAUCCCUGACAAUAAUAUGUCAACUGCAUGGUCAGUUGUUAAAAAGAGAUUAAAUGUAUGGCUACAGCCAGCUAGAAAUCUAGCAAGCAAAUGCCAUAGGGCUGUAGUUAGUCCAGGU